UACGAAGGGGGCUAGCGUUGCUCGGAAUCACUGGGCGUAAAGGGUGCGUAGGCGGGUUCUUAAGUCAGAGGUGAAAUCCUGGAGCUCAACUCCAGAACUGCCUUUGAUACUGAGAGUCUUGAGUUCGGGAGAGGUGAGUGGAACUGCGAGUGUAGAGGUGAAAUUCGUAGAUAUUCGCAAGAACACCAGUGGCGAAGGCGGCUCACUGGCCCGAUACUGACGCUGAGGCACGGAAAGCGUGGGGAGCAAACAGG
rnacentral:rRNA from 1 species